rnacentral:snRNA from 1 species
AUGCUCACUUUGUCAGCAUAUAAAGUUGGAACAAUACAGACAUUAGCAUGGCUCCUGUGCAAGGAUAACACUCAAAUUCAUGAAGAGUUCCAUAUUUUU